AGAGAAAUAUAGGCUAUCUAUUAAACCAUGGGCCUUCAAAGCCCAAACUGUGAGACACUCACUAUUUCUG
rnacentral:tRNA from 1 species